AAGGAUUGGGCGAGCGGGGGAGUUGCAUCGCAGAGGACCGCGAGCUUCAAAUGCCAGCAGCGAGGCAUUGAAGUGAAUUUGCACCGGUGUCGCUCGCGACGGAGACACGCAGCCAGUGAUUUGCGCGCUUGCGGGUCCCCUGACCGGCCGGCAUUUAAUUAAAGGAGCAUCGCACGCGCCGUGGCCGACCUCCCCUCGAGCCUAGAAGAAUCCCCUCCUCUCUUCCAUCUAGCAUGCUUUACCUAAUCCCUUUGUGUGGUUUGAGAAAUAGAAGAACAAUGUAGAUAAAGAAAUUGCGAUCAUCAAGCGUCGCCUCACGAAUUUUUCGAGUCAGUCCACAGCCUAAAAUGUCAACUUCCCAGUAAUCAUAUCUUUACGUAUGUCGUGAAACGUGUCUCGUUUUUUAUUGAUGUGAUAUAUGCGUCGAUAUUAUAUCUGUCUGAUUCAUGUAAACUCAAUAUUACAUAAACAUUUAAAUCUUUAUACGAGAUGGCUCGUUAUUUUUA
rnacentral:lncRNA from 1 species